CCUAUGUGCCCUUCUGUCCCUCCCUCCAUCUAUGGCUCAUGAUGGAAAGCCCCCAGUGUAGCACCUUGAGUGAAAAUAUCCCCAUAAAUCCUAUGCCCCAGCUCUCGGAGCAUUUGGAAUUUUGGCAAGUAGACAAACACUGGCGGCCUUUCCUACCCAGCAUCCUGGAAGGAGGCCCUGCUGGCCACUGGCGGGGCUCAGGCCGCAGGUUUCUGAUGGGCCCUUUCUCUGGGCACCUUCCCCUCCUAUUCCUAAGCACCCUCCCAGCUCUCUCCCACUUUUUUUUUUUUAAACCCUUGCCCACCCUUCACCGCUCUCUCAGAAGCUCUCUGUGAGUAAGGGGGAGAUAGAAGUGAUGAAAGUCCUUUCUGUUACUAGAGGAGAGGAGAAGCUCCGUGCAGGGGAAUCCGGGAUGCUGGAAAGCUGGGGAAUUUAAUACAGAGCUGGCUCUGCUCCAUCCUGGAUCUUCUUUAUGUUCUUUGAUUUUCCUUCUAACCGACAGGCCCCUCAGCUGCAGGUCUGUUGGAGUUUGCUGGAGGUCCACUCCAGACCCUGUUUGCCUGGGUAUCACCAGUGGAGGCUCAGUUGGAAAUACGGAAAUCACCCGUCUUCUGCGUCAAUCUCGCUGGGAGCUGUUCCUAUUCGGCCAUCUUGGAAGCCUCCUGACUCUUUCACAACUUCUCAAUAAAUAAGAGAUGACUGAAUGUCUUUUUAAGUCCAUUUGUCAGGAGCCAGAGGCCUGGACUAGAAACUUCACCUGAUCUCCUGCCCCUCCUUGUGCCAUAGCAAGUCACAGAUUUUUCUAAGAGCAAAUCAACCAAAAGUAAAAAUAGAACCUGUUGAUUUUCCUAAGAGGAAAUCAACCAAAAAUAAAAAUAAAACCUGUUUCUUGAGGUGUUUGACUUAGGAAUUCUUUCCUGGGCCUCAGAAACAUUGGAACUUUCAUUUUUACUCUUCUCACCAGCACCUGUUAGUUUGGAGACAAAGUUAGACUUUAGCUCUUGGAAGCAGCAAUGUGCCAGAAACCCUGACAAUGAACCGCUGUCUCUGACUAAUUGUUCUAGUGGAGAUGUCUCCUGUUUGACUUGAUUUUAAACUGUGGAGCACGUCAAGAGAAAGCUCACUGAUCUGCCGAGGGUUUGUGCUUUUCUGUCUUCAUGCAUCUGUUGUGGGUGAAGAGAGCAAAGAUUCUUCAUUCAAUCAAAGGCCCCCUUUGGAGAUGCUGAGAAGGAAAUUUCCUUUGGAAAUUCCCAAAGAAUUCAGCUGCACAGAACUGUAAGCAGGAACAGCAUCUUCCAAGACACCUGUUAUCUGCCCAG
rnacentral:lncRNA from 10 species